UGUUCAAUGUUGAUGCAGUAGGUGACGUC
rnacentral:piRNA from 1 species